AUUUAAGCGAAGGAAUGCACGCGGGGGAUGCCUUGGCAUCAGCCGGCGACGAAGGACGGGCCAAGCCCCGAAAGUGCCAUGCGAGACGCAAAGGGUCUUUGACCAUGGCGAUUCCGAAUGGGGAAACCCACGCAU
rnacentral:ncRNA from 1 species